UCCAGACUCCACAAUCAUUGAGUUCUUGACAGAGUGUAAACGUUACCAGUUAUUCCGGUUGACAAAGUUCUACCAGGACAGACUUGAACAGGCGAUUGAAGAAGGGGCGGAUGGUGUCAGCUCAUUAUUAACAUACAAGAAGAUUUUCAGUGGAAAAGAACAUUUAGACAUCACUGAGCUCGCAAAGAAGAGAAACCGGGCAGAUAGUUCCAAACUUCUCCUAAAGCUGGUGAUGGAAAAAGGCUCUCAGGCCUAAAGGGUGAUGUGGGAAUCCUUUGUAAAAAUGCGCCAUGGGUUACCAAAGUUGGAUAAAAUACUGAAAGAGGUGCAGCAACAUGGUUCUGAUCCAAUUCAUUAUAUGGAUAAGGUCGGAAGUUUAUCUGAAAUGCCCAAUCACCUGAAAGGUAUU